GCAAACUAGAAUAGAAAACAAAGAUGUUUGCUGUAAAACAAUAAGUCUUGUCAUUUUUCCUUAAAAGAUAAGGAGAAUUUGAUUAACAUUGAUCUACUUCGUAUGCAUACAUAUGUUAUAUACGAUUAUCUAUUACAUUCAUUAAAGCCAACGAUAAUGCAAUUGUAUAUAUGUAUAUGCAGAUAUUAAAUAUUGGUUUACAUUUAUUGAUUUGUUAAGAAGGAUGACUUUUUUCUUUUGUUAGUUUAACAGCGCUAUCUAUUUCCGGUUCUUAGAAAGACGUUAUAUAAAAUAUUAGGCUUAUUGAAGAAGCAUAAAUUAAUUAAUCAAAUUUCCAGUUAAACAAGUCCAAUACGAUGUUGCUACGCAAACAGUUUCUCGAACAACCAAGUACGUUGUGAUCCAAUCAGCUUUUCCCAAGAAUUUUCUCGAACCAAUCAUAUGCAGCUGCUGCGUCAUUCUACCACGGCUAUAUAAAAGAAAGGGUAUCAUAUCUCGCUUCAGUUCUGUGGGAAUCGCUAAAGAUAGUCUUUGUGAAUCUAUUUGCUGUGACAUUUUGAUAAAUUAUCUUUGAUUUUUGCAAAGCUACAUUACAUUAGAACCA